GCGGAAGUGGCGAAAUUGGUAGACGCACCAGAUUUAGGUUCUGGCGCCGCGAGGUCUGAGAGUUCGAGUCUCUCCUUCCGCACCA
rnacentral:tRNA from 1 species